CAGUCGCCACGGUAAUACAGAGGGUGCAAGCGUUAAUCGGAAUUACUGGGCGUAAAGCGCGCGUAGGUGGUUUGUUAAGUUGGAUGUGAAAGCCCCUGGCUCAACCUGGGAACUGCAUCCAAAACUGGCAAGCUAGAGUACGGUAGAGGGUGGUGGAAUUUCCUGUGUAGCGGUGAAAUGCGUAGAUAUAGGAAGGAACACCAGUGGCGAAGGCGACCACCUGGACUGAUACUGACACUGAGGUGCGAAAGCGUGGGGAGCAAACAGGAUUAGAUACCCCGGUAGUCCCUGUCUCUUAUAC
rnacentral:rRNA from 1 species